GCCGGCUCUGAAGAGGAAAAUGUAAUUCUCUUUCAGCUAGCAGGUUCUGACUUGUCCUGAGAAACCAGUGUGAAUCUGACAGAUUUUCCUCUGGCUAAAACCACUUCCAUUUCAAAGUGCUUCUACAGUGCCUGGACAGGGGACACAAAUACCAGCCCAGAACUUCAGCGCCUGUUCAAUAAAUCCCUUCAAAAUGGGCUAUCACCCUGCGACGACAGCUGUGAAGGGCCUGGAGGCGGAGAUACCUCUCAGCAGGGAGGCCUGGUGUCAGGAAGUGCAUCCCCUCAGGAGACUUCAGUGGGGGUAACCUAUGUUGGAUAUAAACAGACCCCCUUCAUUCUUCGGGGCUGUCAACUUAGGGGCCCCCUCCCCCCUACACCAGGGGAGCUUCCUCAACAUUUAACUCUUGAAGAGUCACCAGGAGUUCCUCGAGACUGGCUGCCAAGAUAAACAUUGACCCAAGAGGUGGUGUUACUUGUGUAAAUACUCUGUGCCCUCUUAGCUUGACUGUGACCAAGAAAACUCUCU